CCUACGGGUGGCUGCAGUGGGGAAUAUUGCACAAUGGGGGAAACCCUGAUGCAGCGACGCCGCGUGAGCGAAGAAGGAUUUCGGUAUGGAAAGCUUUUUCAGGAGGGAAGAAAAUGACGGUACCUGAUUAAGAAGCACCGGCUAACUACGUGCCAGCAGCCGCGGUAAUACGUAGGGGGCAAGCGUUAUCCGGAUUUAUUGGGCGUAAAGAGAGCGUAGACGGCAUCACAAGUCUGGAGUGAAAUGCUGAGGCUCAACCCGGGAAUUGCAUUGGAAACUGUGAAGCUGGAGUGCAGGAGAGGUAAGUGGAAUUCCUAGUGUAGCGGUGAAAUGCGUAGAUAUUAGGAGGAACACCGGUGGCGAAGGCGGCUUACUGGACUGUAACUGACGUUGAGGCUCGAAAGCGUGGGUAGCAAACAGGAUUAGAUACCCGUGUAGUC
rnacentral:rRNA from 1 species